GGACUAUUUAAAUGCAUUAAAGUUUUUAUUAAUUACCUUAAUUACAAAGAAUUAGGUAAUUAAUAAAAUCAACUCACAAUAAAAUUAUUAACUUAAUUAAAAUUGACAAAAAUUACUUCCUGAUUUACAUUUGUGAUUGUUGCUGGAUUUUAAUAAUUAUAUUACAUAAACAUAAUCUUAAAUCAAAAAUAAGAAUCAAUCACAAAGCAUUAAAAAUAUAUAUUAAAAUCAUUUCUUCUGUUGUAAAAUGAUCUCAUGUAUUUUCCUAUUUGUCCUGUAUAAUUAUUAGACGCAUUGGAGAAGACCUUGAUGGAUGGGUUGACUUUUCCUGGCUUUCAUAAAGAGCAAUUUUACUUUCAGCUGUAAAUCACAUUCAUUAAGACAAAGUAACCACAGAGACCUCUCUGGCCUCAUUUGUACCCAUAAGUUGACCAUAAAACAGAUAUUUUCAUUAUCAGAGGAUCGCCCUUUCCUAAAAGGAGAUGGAAUAUUUCCAACACCUGGAUUGAAACUUGGGCAAUGGCCCCAGUUAAAUUAAAGCAAAUUCUGUGAUGUCAAAUGAAUGGUUCCCAAAUUUUAUCUUCACAUUGAGAUCGCCUGGGGGAGCUUCAAAAACUACAAAUUCCUGUGAACUGUCCCCAAAGAUUGUGACUGACUGGUCUGAGCUAUGGCCUUGUUUUGGAAUUUUGACAGGUGAUUCUAAUGUGAACAAGUUUGGGAACCACUACCAUUAGUUUCUGUCUUCCUCAGAAAGAGUAGCAGAAGUAUUGAUCUUUCCACCUUUAUCUUGGCAUGGAUUUGUGGAAUGUUACGUUGACUCUAAACUGGAAUUUAGAUCUUGGCUUUCUUGCACUUGCCUGUAAAGGAUUGCAGCUAAGAGUGAUAAUGCUUUCUUAGUCUUUCAUGACCUGUGUGUCAAGACCUGAGACUGGGAUGGAUUCCAACAAAAGUUUUGAUAGCAAAUUUACCACUAAAUGGGAAAGUUGAAAAAGAGUAAGAAAAACAUUUGUUUUUUUUUUUUUUUAUCCCUCCCAUACCUACCCUCCAAAACAUAGCUGAAUUGAGCAGGAUGAAUUAUAACUCUAUAUUAGUUGAAAAUCAUAACAUGAUGUGAUUUAUUAGCUGAAGAGACCCAUCAGAGCAAGCUCUAGUGAAGUACCAGUUACAUGAUCUUGUAAUGAAGACAUUUAUGAGAAAGAAGACACACAGCACUUACUAAUAUUGCUCUGUGGCGACUUCACCAAAUGUUCUUCCCAGAGCAUAGAAUGCAAUUCAAAACCAUCGGUUUCUUGGGGCCAGCCCAGUGGUGCAGCGGUUAAGUUCACAUGUUCUGCUUCCGUGGCCCAGGUUUCGCCAGUUUGGAUCCUGAGUGUGGACUUAUGCACUGCUUGUUGAGCCACGCUGUGGCAGGCAUCCCACAUUGAUUCUCGUAUCCAUCUCAUCUUUAAGCCUUUCUUGUCUCCCCUCCUCAAUAGGAACUAACAGCUCCCAGAGAUGAUGUAGAAUGCUGGAAGCAGGUUAUAGAAUAUUGCCAUGAAAAC
rnacentral:lncRNA from 1 species